rnacentral:rRNA from 1 species
GCUGGACGUAUCACAAGUGCGAAUGCUGACAUAAGUAACGAUAAAACGGGUGAAAAACCCGUUCGCCGGAAGACCAAGGGUUCCUGUCCAACGUUAAUCGGGGCAGGGUGAGUCGGCUCCUAAGGCGAGGCUGAAAAGCGUAGUCGAUGGGAAACAGGUUAAUAUUCCUGUACUUGGUAAAGCUGCGAUGUGGGGACGGAGUAGGUUAGGUUAUCGCACUGUUGGAUAUGUGCGUUUAAGUUGGUAGGUGGGAAGUUUAGGCAAAUCCGGACUUCCUUAACACAGAGAGAUGAUGACGAGGCUCUACGGAGCUGAAGUAACUGAUACCACACUUCCAGGAAAAGCCACUAAGCGAAAGGCUUUACUAAACCGUACUGAAAACCGACACAGGUGGUCAGGUAGAGAAUACUCAGGCGCUUGAGAGAACUCGGGUGAAGGAACUAGGCAAAAUAGCACCGUAACUUCGGGAGAAGGUGCGCCGGCGUAGAUUGUAAGGGCUAGCCCCUGAAGGUUGAACCGGUCGAAGAUACCAGCUGGCUGCAACUGUUUAUUAAAAACACAGCACUCUGCAAACACGAAAGUGGACGUAUAGGGUGUGAUGCCUGCCCGGUGCUGGAAGGUUAAUUGAUGGUGUCAUCGCAAGAGAAGCACCUGAUCGAAGCCCCAGUAAACGGCGGCCGUAACUAUAACGGUCCUAAGGUAGCGAAAUUCCUUGUCGGGUAAGUUCCGACCUGCACGAAUGGCAUAAUGAUGGCCAGGCUGUCUCCACCCGAGACUCAGUGAAAUUGAAAUCGCCGUGAAGAUGCGGUGUACCCGCGGCUAGACGGAAAGACCCCGUGAACCUUUACUAUAGCUUGACACUGAACAUUGAAUUUUGAUGUGUAGGAUAGGUGGGAGCCUUUGAAGCAGUGACGCCAGUCAUUGUGGAGGCGACCUUGAAAUACCACCCUUUAACGUUUGAUGUUCUAACGAAGAUGACGAAACGUGGUCUCGGACAGUGUCUGGUGGGUAGUUUGACUGGGGCGGUCUCCUCCCAAAGCGUAACGGAGGAGCACGAAGGUUUGCUAAUCACGGUCGGACAUCGUGAGGUUAGUGCAAUGGUAUAAGCAAGCUUAACUGCGAGACAGACAAGUCGAGCAGGUACGAAAGUAGGUCAUAGUGAUCCGGUGGUUCUGAAUGGAAGGGCCAUCGCUCAACGGAUAAAAGGUACUCCGGGGAUAACAGGCUGAUACCGCCCAAGAGUUCAUAUCGACGGCGGUGUUUGGCACCUCGAUGUCGGCUCAUCACAUCCUGGGGCUGAAGUAGGUCCCAAGGGUAUGGCUGUUCGCCAUUUAAAGUGGUACGCGAGCUGGGUUUAGAACGUCGUGAGACAGUUCGGUCCCUAUCUGCCGUGGGCGUAGGAGAAUUGGUUGGGGCUGCUCCUAGUACGAGAGGACCGGAGUGGACGCACCACUGGUGUUCCGGUUGUGUCGCCAGACGCAUUGCCGGGUAGCUAAGUGCGGAAGAGAUAAGUGCUGAAAGCAUCUAAGCACGAAACUUGCCAAGAGAUGAGUUCUCCCAAUCUAAGAGAUAGUAAGGGUUGUUGUAGACUACGACGUAGAUAGGUCUGGUGUGUAAGUGUAGUGAUACAUUGAGCUAACAGAUACUAAUUGCCCGAGAGGCUUAACUAUACAACGCUCAAG